UACAGAGGGUGCGAGCGUUAAUCGGAAUUACUGGGCGUAAAGCGCACGUAGGUGGCUUUGCAAGUCGAUUGUGAAAUCCCCGGGCUUAACCUGGGAACUGCAGUCGAGACUGCUCUGCUUGAGUACGGGAGAGGGAGGUGGAAUUUCCGGUGUAGCGGUGAAAUGCGCAGAUAUCAGGAAGAACACCAAUGGCGAAAGCAGCUCUCUGGGACGGUACUGACGCUGAGACGCGAAAGCGUGGGGAGCGAACAGG
rnacentral:rRNA from 1 species